CUGUUUUUUUCCCAGCUUCUGAGAUCCACGAAGACUGAGGCUAUACUUUAUUUAAUGUAUAAAUAUAUUUAUAUGUAUAUAUAUAUAUGUAUGUAUAUGUGUACAUAUUUUCUUUUUGGUGAGGAAGAUUGGCCUUGAGCUAACAUCUGUUGCCAAACUUCCCCUUUUUGCUUGAGGAAGAUUGGCCCUGAGCUAACAUCUGUGCCAAUCUUCCUCACUUUGUAUGUGGGACACCACCACAGCAUGGCUUGUGGAGCAGUAUGCAGGUCCACACCCAGGAUUUGAACCUGUGAACCCCAGGCUGCCAAAGUGGAGCACACGAACUCAACCUCUAUGCCACUGGACUGGCCCCUACUUAAUGUAUGUUUAAUAAAUGAGAAAUUAUAACUGUAACUUAAAUCACAGUUGUGUUCUAGAGGAAGUAAAUAACAUUAAAGGGUAAGAUGACAUUGUUCGUCAGAGAAUCCUGGAAGGCUGAAUAGGCACAGGUGAAUGUUGAGCUGAAUUUGGAACAAGAUCUUGGAGAGGGUUGAAUGCUUUGCCUAGUGGAGAGGUCAGAAACUGUGAUUCCCAGUGCCAAUUCCGAAAGGGUGGUUGGAAGGAGGAGUGAAAAAUAGGCGGGGAAGUCAGAGCCUGAGUGGGCGGAAAUAAAAAAGAGAACUUGGAAGGAAGAGAAUGUGUAAUACAUUCUUUAAACAUAAUUAUAUACUGUGAUGUAAACCCCUUUACCUUUCUAAAUCACCGGAAACAUCUACAAAGUUCCACGUGACUGCAGGGAUUGCUGUGACUGAAAAAGGGGAAAGGGAAAAAUUCCCUCCUUGUCGCUGAAAAGUUUGUGGAGAUGUAACUAAAAUAAUUUAACAUGAGAAGAAGAUCAAAACCCUGUGAGUUGCUGUUCAGACAGCUGAAAAGGUGCACUUUUAACUGGAGCUUCAGAAACCAAAGGCCAAAUACCAACAACCCACUUUCACUGACAUUUUUGUGGCCAUCAUCAGAUAUCCGCAGCCAG
rnacentral:lncRNA from 1 species